rnacentral:rRNA from 1 species
GAUGAACGCUGGCGGCGUGCCUAAUACAUGCAAGUCGAGCGAACAGACGAGGAGCUUACUCCUCUGACGUUAGCGGCGGACGGGUGAGUAACACGUGGAUAACCUACCUAUAAGACUGGGAUAACUUCGGGAAACCGGAGCUAAUACCGGAUAACAUGUUGAACCGCAUGGUUCAACAGUGAAAGACGGUCUUGCUGUCACUUAUAGAUGGAUCCGCGUCGCAUUAGCUAGUUGGUAAGGUAACGGCUUACCAAGGCAACGAUGCGUAGCCGACCUGAGAGGGUGAUCGGCCACACUGGAACUGAGACACGGUCCAGACUCCUACGGGAGGCAGCAGUAGGGAAUCUUCCGCAAUGGGCGAAAGCCUGACGGAGCAACGCCGCGUGAGUGAAGAAGGUCUUCGGAUCGUAAAACUCUGUUAUUAGGGAAGAACAAAUGUGUAAGUAACUAUGCACGUCUUGACGGUACCUAAUCAGAAAGCCACGGCUAACUACGUGCCAGCAGCCGCGGUAAUACGUAGGUGGCAAGCGUUAUCCGGAAUUAUUGGGCGUAAAGCGCGCGUAGGCGGUUUUUUAAGUCUGAUGUGAAAGCCCACGGCUCAACCGUGGAGGGUCAUUGGAAACUGGAAAACUUGAGUGCAGAAGAGGAAAGUGGAAUUCCAUGUGUAGCGGUGAAAUGCGCAGAGAUAUGGAGGAACACCAGUGGCGAAGGCGACUUUCUGGUCUGUAACUGACGCUGAUGUGCGAAAGCGUGGGGAUCAAACAGGAUUAGAUACCCUGGUAGUCCACGCCGUAAACGAUGAGUGCUAAGUGUUAGGGGGUUUCCGCCCCUUAGUGCUGCAGCUAACGCAUUAAGCGCUCCGCCUGGGGAGUACGACCGCAAGGUUGAAACUCAAAGGAAUUGACGGGGACCCGCACAAGCGGUGGAGCAUGUGGUUUAAUUCGAAGCAACGCGAAGAACCUUACCAAAUCUUGACAUCCUCUGACCCCUCUAGAGAUAGAGUUUUCCCCUUCGGGGGACAGAGUGACAGGUGGUGCAUGGUUGUCGUCAGCUCGUGUCGUGAGAUGUUGGGUUAAGUCCCGCAACGAGCGCAACCCUUAAGCUUAGUUGCCAUCAUUAAGUUGGGCACUCUAAGUUGAUUGCCGGUGACAAACCGGAGGAAGGUGGGGAUGACGUCAAAUCAUCAUGCCCCUUAUGAUUUGGGCUACACACGUGCUACAAUGGACAAUACAAAGGGUAGCGAAACCGCGAGGUCAAGCAAAUCCCAUAAAGUUGUUCUCAGUUCGGAUUGUAGUCUGCAACUCGACUACAUGAAGCUGGAAUCGCUAGUAAUCGUAGAUCAGCAUGCUACGGUGAAUACGUUCCCGGGUCU